GGGGGAAACCUUGACGCAGCAACGCCGCGUGGGUGAUGAAGGCCUUCGGGUCGUAAAGCCCUGUCAGGUGGGAAGAAACAUGUCGGUGCUAAUAUCACCGAUGUUUGACGGUACCGCCGGAGGAAGCACCGGCUAACUCCGUGCCAGCAGCCGCGGUAAUACGGAGGGUGCAAGCGUUGUUCGGAAUUACUGGGCGUAAAGCGCGUGUAGGCGGUCGGGCAAGUCAGAUGUGAAAGCCUUCCGCUCAACGGAAGAAGUGCAUUUGAAACUACCCGGCUGGAGUACGGGAGAGGAGAGUGGAAUUCCCGGUGUAGAGGUGAAAUUCGUAGAUAUCGGGAGGAACACCAGUGGCGAAGGCGGCUCUCUGGUCCGAUACUGACGCUGAGACGCGAAAGCGUGGGGAGCAAACAGGAUUAGAUACCCUGGUAGUCCACGCCGUAAACGAUGGGCACUAGGUGUAGGAGGUAUUGACCCCUUCUGUGCCGAAGUUAACGCAUUAAGUGCCCCGCCUGG
rnacentral:rRNA from 1 species